GGCUUGCUGAGCCUCUCGAGCAUCCUCUUAACUGCUUUGGCACUAACUUCUUUUAACGAGUUACAUUUCAUCAUCACGUGCUAUCGUCAUAGGGCUUCCUCUCCUUUGGCAUCAUCAGCCUCUGGCACAUCUUGCGCUAGGCAUCUCGGGUGCCUAAGGGGACAGUGCCAGGCAGUUGCCACUUGUCUCUGUGUUAUGUCACCUGUGUCUGUGUGUUGUCCGUGUCUGUGUGUUGUCCGUGUCUGUGUCCGUUGUCUUCCACGUCAUAGGCCUUUGUUACGUCUCAAUGCUUUAUUGGCACUAUUCUGUGCCGUAUAGGCUGUAUUCUACUCACGUUCCUUUCUGGAUAUCCCUUAUUCUGGCAUCUUUACAUUUUUACUCUUUGAGACAGGAAUGUCUCAAACGGACAAGAUGUUCUCAUCCAUCUUCCUUCUCACUACCAGCUUUGGUAGUGCCUUUUUUUCCAUGCCAUUUUCUUGGACUGCUAGAGGGAGUGUCUUGCACCCUCCUCAUGUGACUGCAGUACUUCUAUAGGUUCCAUCUUCUGAAGGGUAUAGGACUCAAGAAUUCAUCUUCCAGCGAGUUAUCUCAAGUCCUGGCUUAUAUUGUGUGUACCUGUGCUGGCUUAUACUGUAUGUACCUACCCUCUAUGUACACUUGCACUGUAUGCAUCGACUUACAUUGUUGUGUGUACUUAUAUUGUACCACUUAUGGUUGGAGCUGCCCUGCCCGGGCACGUAGUCACAGUCAGGUAGAAGAGUUAUAAAAACUUUACUGUUCAUCUGUCUUUUAUGGGAUUUUGGGUAGAAAACUUAUUGGUUCAGAGUGGAGACAAGUCCUAGCUGUCAGAUAGCCACUCGUUGACCGCUUCCUGUCAUCUCACAGGUCCCCGAGGCUACCGAUUUCCCCAGAACCUACCAACUGACGUCAAGGAGCGCAGCCAGAAGAUGUGUCGCAGCACGUUCUUCAGCGUCUCGAGGUGAGCACAGGGUGAACUCUCUCCUCCUUGCUGUGACACCUGGGCUGGCAGGGAUGACACAGUGACCUCGGCCAGCCGAUGCUGCCUGUGCCAUCACCUGGCACUGACGUGUUUGAUGAAAAUCCUUUUGCUGGGAUUUUUCUCCUGAGAAGCCUCAGAACAGAAAUGGAACCAAUAACGAUCUGCUGGCUGUGGAGUGUGGGCUGGAGUUGGUUUAGCAACAGGGGCAUCUUGGAUUAGACUCCUGUGCAGUGUCUACUUGAUGACCAAUCAUGGUCCAGCUGCGUCGGGGCUGUGAGCAGUCCCAGGUUUUUAUUAUUCAUUCCUUUCUAGCUUUCUGAUGUCUCCUUGCUCUUUUAGUAUAGUUCUACUAUCUCAUUUUCUUUUAAUAUAAUAGAGAUCAUAAAAUAAUAGUUCAGCCUUCUGAAA